GUGCUAAAACAUUUGGCAGCAAAUAUACUAAAAUUGGAAGGAUACACAAAAGAUUAGUAUGGCCCCUGCACCAGGAUGGCAUGCAAAUGUGUGAAGUGUUUCUUAUUUAU